rnacentral:rRNA from 1 species
CGUUCAGAUCGCAGCUGCAACUCGACUGCGUGAAGUCGGAAUCGCUAGUAAUCGCGGAUCAGCAUGUCGCGGUGAAUACGUUCCCGGGUCUUGUACACACCGCCCGUCACACCAUGGGAGUCGGAAAUGCCCGAAGUCAGUGACCCAACCGUAAGGAGGGAGCUGCCGAAGGUGGAGCCGGUAACUGGGGUGAAGUCGUAACAAGGUAAC